UUUGGCGCCGGUUAACAUUUCAAUACCCAACUCCGUCAGAUCCGGAAGGAAGCAGCGGUAAGUAUCUGAAUUGUGUAACUGUGCGCCUUUAUU
rnacentral:SRP_RNA from 1 species